rnacentral:rRNA from 1 species
CCUACGGGUGGCUGCAGUGAGGAAUAUUGGUCAAUGGACGAGAGUCUGAACCAGCCACGUAGCGUGAAGGAUGACUGCCCUCUGGGUUGUAAACUUCUUUUAUAUGGGAAUACAAUGUUCCACGUGUGGGAUUUCGUAUGUACCAUAUGAAUACGGAUCGGCUAACUCCGCGCCAGCAGCCGCGGGAAUACGGAGGAUCCGAGCUUUAACCGGUUUUAUUGGGUUUAAAGGGAGCGUAGGUGGAUUGUUAAGUCAGUUGGGAAAGUUUGCGGCUCAACCGUAAGAUUGCAGUUGAUACUGGCAGUCUUGAGUACAGUAGAGGUGAGCGGAAUUCGUGGUGUAGCGGUGAAAUGCGUAGAUAUCACGAAGAACUCCGAUUGCGAAGGCAGCUCACUGGACUGCAACUGACACUGAGGCUCGAAAGUGUGGGUAUCAAACAGGAUUAGAUACCCCUGUAGUC